rnacentral:rRNA from 1 species
ACUCCUACGGGAGGCAGCAGUGGGGAAUAUUGGACAAUGGGCGCAAGCCUGAUCCAGCCAUGCCGCGUGAGUGAUGAAGGCCCUAGGGUUGUAAAGCUCUUUCACCGGUGAAGAUAAUGACGGUAACCGGAGAAGAAGCCCCGGCUAACUUCGUGCCAGCAGCCGCGGUAAUACGAAGGGGGCUGGCGUUGUUCGGAUUUACUGGGCGUAAAGCGCACGUAGGCGGACUAUUAAGUCAGGGGUGAAAUCCCGGGGCUCAACCCCGGAACUGCCUUUGAUACUGGUAGUCUUGAGUUCGAGAGAGGUGAGUGGAAUUCCGAGUGUAGAGGUGAAAUUCGUAGAUAUUCGGAGGAACACCAGGGGCGAAGGCGGCUCACUGGCUCGAUACUGACGCUGAGGUGCGAAAGCGUGGGGAGCAAACAGGAUUAGAAACCCGAGUAGUCCCA